AUUGAACGCUGGCGGCAGGCCUAACACAUGCGAGUCGAGCGGAUGAAGGGAGCUUGCUCCUGGAUUCAGCGGCGGACGGGUGAGUAAUGCCUAGGAAUCUGCCUGGUAGUGGGGGAUAACGUCCGGAAACGGGCGCUAAUACCGCAUACGUCCUGAGGGAGAAAGUGGGGGAUCUUCGGACCUCACGCUAUCAGAUGAGCCUAGGUCGGAUUAGCUAGUUGGUGGGGUAAAGGCCUACCAAGGCGACGAUCCGUAACUGGUCUGAGAGGAUGAUCAGUCACACUGGGGCUGAGACACAGUCUCGACUCCUACGGGAGGGAGCACAGGGGAAUAUUGGGGAAUGGGGGGAAGCGUGAUCCAGCGACGCGGCGUGUGUGAAGAAGGUCUUCGGAUUGUAAAGCACUUUAAGUUGGGAGGAAGGGCAGUAAGUUAAUACCUUGCUGUUUUGACGUUACCAACAGAAUAAGCACCGGCUAACUUCGUG
rnacentral:rRNA from 1 species